rnacentral:lncRNA from 1 species
UGGUCUCCAACCUCUCUUCUAUCUUCUCCGGAUCUCGCGCCUCCAACGGGUUGUCCACGCCCUCACGUCCGAAUCCACGAACGCCACGUUCCGAGUCCACGAAACGCCACCACUCCGCAUCCACGAAGCCACCAAUCACGCCGAAUCCACGACGCCACUCGAAUCCACGAGCCUUCGAUCCGAAUCCACGAACCGCCUUUGUUCACGCCGAAUCCACGAUGCCGUUCAUGAAGAGCAUC